rnacentral:piRNA from 1 species
UACAAAGAUUCACCACAAAGUCAGAGCA